AAUUAAUUUUGUUAGGUGAGGCUCCUAUAAAGAUACAUGCUGCUACCCAGAAAAAUCGAGAGAUUCCAAUGGGUUAACAAGAAUUAUCGCCAAGGUAAUUUUUAAUGUAGCUGACGAAAAGUCAAAGCUCUAUAGUGCUAAAGCUCUACAAAUUAAGCUAUAU
rfam:Clostridium sp. CAG:221 genomic scaffold, scf21